rnacentral:rRNA from 1 species
GGAUUAGAUACCCUGGUAGUCCACGCCGUAAACGUUGGGCGCUAGAUGUAGGGACCUUUCCACGGUUUCUGUGUCGUAGCUAACGCAUUAAGCGCCCCGCCUGGGGAGUACGGCCGCAAGGCUAAAACUCAAAGGAAUUGACGGGGGCCCGCACAAGCGGCGGAGCAUGCGGAUUAAUUCGAUGCAACGCGAAGAACCUUACCAAGGCUUGACAUACACCGGAAACGGCCAGAGAUGGUCGCCCCCUUGUGGUCGGUGUACAGGUGGUGCAUGGUUGUCGUCAGCUCGUGUCGUGAGAUGUUGGGUUAAGUCCCGCAACGAGCGCAACCCUCGUUCUAUGUUGCCAGCGCGUUAUGGCGGGAACUCAUGGGAUACUGCCGGGGUCAACUCGGAGGAAGGUGGGGGUGACGUCAAAUCAUCAUGCCCCUUAUGUCUUGGGCUUCACGCAUGCUACAAUGGCCGGUACGAAGGGCUGCGAUACCGUAAGGUGGAGCGAAUCCCAAAAAGCCGGUCUCAGUUCGGAUUGAGGUCUGCAACUCGACCUCAUGAAGUCGGAGUCGCUAGUAAUCGCAGAUCAGCAACGCUGCGGUGAAUACGUUCCCGGGCCUUGUACACACCGCCCGUCAAGUCAUGAAAGUCGGUAACACCCGAAGCCGGUGGCCUAACCCUUGUGGAGGGAGCCGUCGAAGGUGGGAUCGGUAAUUAGGACUAAGUCGUAACAAGGUAGC